UAGGGAAUCUUCCACAAUGGACGCAAGUCUGAUGGAGCAACGCCGCGUGAGUGAAGAAGGUUUUCGGACCGUAAAGCUCUGUUGCUGGUGAAGAAGGAUAGAGGUAGUAACUGGCCUUUAUUUGACGGUAAUCAACCAGAAAGUCACGGCUAACUACGUGCCAGCAGCCGCGGUAAUACGUAGGUGGCAAGCGUUGUUCGGAUUUAUUGGGCGUAAAGCGAGCGCAGGCGGAAGAAUAAGUCUGAUGUGAAAGCCCUCGGCUUAACCGAGGAAUUGCAUCGGAAACUGUUUUUCUUGAGUGCAGAAGAGGAGAGUAGAACUCCAUGUGUAGCGGUGGAAUGCGUAGAUAUAUGGAAGAAUACCAGUGGCGAAGGCGGCUCUCUGGUCUGCAACUGACGCUGAGGCUCGAAAGCAUGGGUAGCGAACAGGAUUAGAUACCCUGGUAGUCCAUGCCGUAAACGAUGAGUGCUAAGUGUUGGGAGGCUUCCGCCUCUCAGUGCUGCAGCUAACGCAUUAAGCACUCCGCCUGGGGGAGUACGACCGCAAGGUUGAAAC
rnacentral:rRNA from 1 species